CCGUACUAGCUGGGGAGUUUGCGGUGCCCUGUAACCUGCAACCCGCAAUAGCAGGGGUGAAGUCCUAGGCUGAGGUGUAACCUUGUAAGGUCAGGCCUGUGUAAGUGGUGACGACGACUGGGUCCUGCGCAACGGAAACUUGUGAACCCCGCCAGGUCCGGAAGGAAGCAACGGUAAGCAAGCCCUUUCGUGUGCCGCAGGGUAGCCUGGUCCGAGCUAACUAUAUGGGUAACGCUUGUAAGGUUAUUAUCGAAGUUAGGUGUGCGG
rnacentral:SRP_RNA from 1 species